CAGGCCUAACACAUGCAAGUCGAGCGCACCCUUCGGGGCGAGCGGCGGACGGGUUAGUAACGCGUGGGAACAUACCCUUUACUACGGAAUAGCCUCGGGAAACUGAGAGUAAUACCGUAUGUGCCCUUCGGGGGAAAGAUUUAUCGGUAAAGGAUUGGCCCGCGUUAGAUUAGAUAGUUGGUGGGGUAAUGGCCUACCAAGUCUACGAUCUAUAGCUGGUUUUAGAGGAUGAUCAGCAACACUGGGACUGAGACACGGCCCAGACUCCUACGGGAGGCAGCAGUGGGGAAUCUUAGACAAUGGGCGCAAGCCUGAUCUAGCCAUGCCGCGUGUGUGAUGAAGGCCUUAGGGUCGUAAAGCACUUUCGCCAGGGAUGAUAAUGACAGUACCUGGUAAAGAAACCCCGGCUAACUCCGUGCCAGCAGCCGCGGUAAUACGGAGGGGGUUAGCGUUGUUCGGAAUUACUGGGCGUAAAGCGUACGUAGGCGGAUCAGAAAGUAAGGGGUGAAAUCCCAGGGCUCAACCCUGGAACUGCCUCUUAAACUCCUGGUCUUGAGUUCGAGAGAGGUGAGUGGAAUUCCGAGUGUAGAGGUGAAAUUCGUAGAUAUUCGGAGGAACACCAGUGGCGAAGGCGGCUCACUGGCUCGAUACUGACGCUGAGGUACGAAAGUGUGGGGAGCAAACAGGAUUAGAUACCCUGGUAGUCCACACCGUAAACGAUGAAUGCCAGUCGUCGGGCAGUAUACUGUUCGGUGACACACCUAACGGAUUAAGCAUCCGC
rnacentral:rRNA from 1 species